CGCGUAAGUAAUACUGUCCUGAUAUCUGGAAUAACACUCCGAAAGGUGUGCUAAUACCGGAUACGCUGAGAAAUCAGGAAAGGUGGCCUCUUCAUGAAAGCUACUGUAUCAGGAGGAGCUUGCGUACCAUUAGCUAGUUGGUGGGGUAAUGGCCUACCAAGGCAACGAUGGUUAGCGGGUCUGAGAGGAUGAUCCGCCACACUGGAACUGGAACACGGACCAGACUCCUACGGGAGGCAGCAGUGAGGAAUAUUGCGCAAUGGGGGCAACCCUGACGCAGCGACGCCGCGUGGAUGAUGAAGGCCUUCGGGUCGUAAAAUCCUGUCAGAUGGAAAGAAAUGUCAUAUGCCUAAUAUGUGUAUGAUUUGACGGUACCAUCAAAGGAAGCACCGGCUAACUCCGUGCCAGCAGCCGCGGUAAUACGGAGGGUGCAAGCGUUGUUCGGAAUUACUGGGCGUAAAGCGCGCGUAGGCGGCUUUUUAAGUCAGAUGUGAAAGUCCACGGCUCAACCGUGGAAGUGCAUUUGAUACUGGGAAGCUUGAGUACUGGAGGGGAUGGUGGAAUUCCCGGUGUAGAGGUGAAAUUCGUAGAUAUCGGGAGGAAUACCGGUGGCGAAGGCGACCAUCUGGCCAGAUACUGACGCUGAGGUGCGAAAG
rnacentral:rRNA from 1 species